GUAAACUCCUCCAGGGCAGGACCUGACUCUUCAGAGGAAUUUUUUAAUCCCCCUCCCCAGAAGUGCCCACAUCAAGGCCAUAGUAGAGAAGGAGCUCAAGAGCAAUCCCUAAGCAACCACGCUUGGAAGCAUCCUGCAUCAGAGGGAUUUGUUCCAGACUCAGAUUUAAUCCACUAUUACCUUUUCGUAAGACAAGUGUUGUCUGAAGGAGUCUGUGUGUAAUUUUGAGACAAAAGGAUUGCAGAACUCAGCUCCCAGGUUGUCUCAUAUCUGAUUCUUCGAAAGGGGAAAAGAAGCGAACUCUUCUGCACAAUAGCUGAGCAGAUAGGAGAGAAAAAGCUUGAAGAUUCACAGUGGAGCAAGGCUAAUUGGAGCCUUCCUCAGAGCAGCUCAACUAUCCCAGUUUUACCUAUCCCAUUCCUUGCCAUUCC
rnacentral:lncRNA from 1 species